rnacentral:tmRNA from 1 species
AAACGACAACUAUGCUCCGGUUGCUCAGGCUGCGUAACGCAGUUUGAAAGACCAAAUCUAAAGUCCUGAUGGGUUAAGCUCCGUCAGGCGGGGUUCGGAGGCACCUGGCAACAGAAGCCUCCACU